CUAGCAUAUCAAUAAGCGGAGGAAAAGAAACUAACAAGGAUUCCCCUAGUAACUGCGAGUGAAGCGGGAAAAGCUCAAAUUUAAAAUCUGGCGGUCUUUGGCCGUCCGAGUUGUAGUCUGGAGAAGUGCUUUCCGCGCUGGACCGUGUAUAAGUCUCUUGGAACAGAGCGUCAUAGAGGGUGAGAAUCCCGUCUUUGACACGGACUACCAGUGCUUUGUGAUGCGCUCUCAAAGAGUCGAGUUGUUUGGGAAUGCAGCUCAAAAUGGGUGGUGAAUUCCAUCUAAAGCUAAAUAUUGGCGAGAGACCGAUAGCGAACAAGUACCGUGAGGGAAAGAUGAAAAGCACUUUGGAAAGAGAGUUAAACAGUACGUGAAAUUGCUGAAAGGGAAACGCUUGAAGUCAGUCGCGUCUGCCGGAACUCAGCCUUCCUUUUGGUUGGUGCACUUUCUGGUAGACGGGCCAGCAUCGAUUUUGACCGUAGGAUAAGGGCUGGAGAAAUGUGGCACCUUCGGGUGUGUUAUAGUCUUCAGUCGCAUACUACGGUUGGGAUCGAGGACCGCAGCGCGCCGCAAGGCAGGGGUUCGCCCACUUUCGCGCUUAGGAUGCUGGCAUAAUGGCUUUAAACGACCCGUCUUGAAACACGGACCAAGGAGUCUAACAAACCUGCGAGUGUUUGGGUGGAAAACCCGAGCGCGUAAUGAAAGUGAAAGUUGAGACCUCUGUCGUGGAGGGCAUCGACGCCCGGACCUGACGUUCUCUGACGGAUCCGCGGUAGAGCAUGUUUGUUGGGACCCGAAAGAUGGUGAACUAUGCCUGAAUAGGGUGAAGCCAGAGGAAACUCUGGUGGAGGCUCGUAGCGAUUCUGACGUGCAAAUCGAUCGUCAAAUUUGGGUAUAGGGGCGAAAGACUAAUCGAACCAUCUAGUAGCUGGUCUGC
rnacentral:rRNA from 1 species